rnacentral:tRNA from 1 species
CCUGGUGGCUCAGACGGUAAAGCAUCUGCCUGCAGUGCAGGAGACCCAGGUUCGAUCCCUGGGUCAGGA